rnacentral:rRNA from 1 species
GUCCAGGGGGCCGCCUUCGCCACCGGUAUUCCUCCAGAUCUCUACGCAUUUCACCGCUACACCUGGAAUUCUACCCCCCUCUACAAGACUCAAGCCUGCCAGUUUCAAAUGCAGUUCCCAGGUUGAGCCCGGGGAUUUCACAUCUGACUUAACAGACCGCCUGCGUGCGCUUUACGCCCAGUAAUUCCGAUUAACGCUUGCACCCUCCGUAUUACCGCGGCUGCUGGCACGGAGUUAGCCGGUGCUUCUUCUGCGAGUAACGUCAAUCACUAAGGUUAUUAACCUUAACGCCUUCCUCCUCGCUGAAAGUACUUUACAACCCGAAGGCCUUCUUCAUACACGCGGCAUGGCUGCAUCAGGCUUGCGCCCAUUGUGCAAUAUUCCCCACUGCUGCCUCCCGUAGGAGUCUGGACCGUGUCUCAGUUCCAGUGUGGCUGGUCAUCCUCUCAGACCAGCUAGGGAUCGUCGCCUAGGUGAGCCAUUACCCCACCUACUAGCUAAUCCCAUCUGGGCACAUCUGAUGGCAUGAGGCCCGAAGGUCCCCCACUUUGGUCUUGCGACGUUAUGCGGUAUUAGCUACCGUUUCCAGUAGUUAUCCCCCUCCAUCAGGCAGUUUCCCAGACAUUACUCACCCGUCCGCCGCUCGUCACCCGAGAGCAAGCUCUCUGUGCUACCGCUCGACUUGCAUGUGUUAGGCCUGCCG